AGAAUCAACGCUGGCGGCGUGCCUAACACAUGCAAGUCGAACGCGAAAGUGGAGCAAUCCAUGAGUAGAGUGGCAAACGGGUGAGUAACGCGUGGGCGACCUGCCUUCGAGUGGGGGAUAACAUUCCGAAAGGGAUGCUAAUACCGCAUAACAUCCUUCGUUUAGAUACGAGGUGAUCAAAGCUGGGAGCAAUCCUGGCGCUUAAAGAGGGCCCGCGUCCGAUUAGCUAGUUGGUGGGUAAUGGCCUACCAAGGCUCCGAUCGGUA
rnacentral:rRNA from 1 species